rnacentral:rRNA from 1 species
CCUACGGGAGGCAGCAGUGAGGAAUAUUGGUCAAUGGGCGUAAGCCUGAACCAGCCACGUCGCGUGAGGGAUGAAGGUUCUAUGGAUCGUAAACCUCUUUUAUAAGGGAAUAAAGUGAGUGACGUGUCCCGUUUUGUAUUUACCUUAUGAAUAAGGAUCGGCUAACUCCGCGCCAGCAGCCGCGGUACUACGGAGGAUCCGAGCGUUAUUCGGAUUUAUUGGGCUUAACGGGUGCGUAGGCGGCCUUUUAAGUCAGCGGUGAAAGUCCGUGGCUCAACCAUAGAAUUGCCGUUGAAACUGGCAGGCUUGAGUAUGUUAGAGGCAGGCGGAAUGCGUGGUAUAGCGGUGAAAUGCUUAGAUAUCACGCAGAACCCCGAUUGCGAAGGCAGCCUGCCAAGCCAUGACUGACGCUGAUGCACGAAAGCGUGGGGAUCAAACAGGAUUAGAUACCCUAGUAGUC